rnacentral:rRNA from 1 species
UGAGUGGCGGACGGGUGAGUAACGCGUGGGGCAACCUGGCCUGUACAGGGGGAUAACACUUAGAAAUAGGUGCUAAUACCGCAUAACGGGGGAAGCCGCAUGGCUUUUCCCUGAAAACUCCGGUGGUACAGGAUGGGCCCGCGUCUGAUUAGCCAGUUGGUAGGGUAACGGCCUACCAAAGCGACGAUCAGUAGCCGGCCUGAGAGGGCGGACGGCCACACUGGGACUGAGACACGGCCCAGACUCCUACGGAAGGCAGCAG